CUGGAUUACAUCACUUCCUGUGUGGACAGGAAGAAAGAUUUGCCAUUUUGUAGGCAAUCCUUACAUCUGUUGGAGUUCACUUGAUUCUCCCGUGGAAGCAACGUAUGGAGUGAUUCAUGUUGACAGCAACGCAGCUUGGAUCAUCGAUUGACGCAAAAAGCCUAGGAUCUGGCUUUCCACCCUUGGUGGGCCUCUCUCAGCCAGAUGGAUGGUCUCAGCCAUGUGUCAGAGAGGUGACAGCUGGCUGGCCUGGCCUCCCCCGGCCGAGGUUCUGGAUCCUGUCUUCUGACAGCCCCUGACAGCUCCUGAUGUGUGACACAUCUACUGCUCCUCCCCCUCCAAAACCCCACCCAUGAGCUUGCAUCACGGAAACUCCUGGUUUGCUGAAAAAUCCAUGAUGUCUCAUGUUGGGACGAAAUGAAAUGUAAAUGAUAUGAUGAGCCACACCCUGGUGGGAUGACGCCUGUAUUCAGAAGUGUGCUAAAAGAAGUACCCAGCCUACCGAUUAGGGCAUAUUUUAUAUUGAGAAAGAAAAACAGCGUGUGAUUAAAAAAAAAGCCAAAAGCUUUCAACAAGCUCUCUUGUGAAAGUCAUAAAUUAGACCAGUGCUUCUUGUAUC